CAAGGUCUCCGUUGGUGAACCAGCGGAGGGAUCAUUAUAGAGUUUUCUAAACUCCCAACCCAUGUGAACUUACCAUUGUUGCCUCGGCAGAAGCUGCUCGGUGCACCUUACCUUGGAACGGCCUACCCUGUAGCGCCUUACCCUGGAACGGCUUACCCUGCAACGGCUGCCGGUGGACUACCAAACUCUUGUUAUUUUAUGGUUAUCUGAGCGUCUUAUUUUAAUAAGUCAAAACUUUCAACAACGGAUCUCUUGGUUCUGGCAUCGAUGAAGAACGCAGCGAAAUGCGAUAAGUAAUGUGAAUUGCAGAAUUCAGUGAAUCAUCGAAUCUUUGAACGCACAUUGCGCCCAUUAGUAUUCUAGUGGGCAUGCCUGUUCGAGCGUCAUUUCAACCCUUAAGCCUAGCUUAGUGUUGGGAGCCUACUGCUUUUGCUAGCUGUAGCUCCUGAAAUACAACGGCGGAUCUGCGAUAUCCUCUGAGCGUAGUAAUUUUUAUCUCGCUUUUGACUGGAGUUGCAGCGUCUUUAGCCGCUAAACCCCCCAAUUUUUAAUGGUUGACCUCGGAUCAGGUAGGAAUACCCGCUGAACUUAAGCAUAUCA
rnacentral:rRNA from 1 species